GGCAAUCAUACAAUGCCUUGAAGAAUGGGAAUCCAAGCUCAUGAGCAUUGAGAAGUUCAAGAUCAUCACUGAUCAUAAGAACUUAGAAUACUUUACAACCAUUUACAAGCUCACAGAGAGGCAUAUACACUGGUCACUGUUUCUCAGCCAUUUCUCAUUCACAAUCCAUUACUGACCAGGGGCAGAAAAUGCCCUUGCAGAUGCUCUAUCCCACAGAGAACAAGAUAUGCCCUCUGACAACCUAGAUAACAGAUGGAAGCACUGAGAACAUCAGUUAAUCAACCCCACAAUUAUAGAAAGUCCCAGAUAAUCAGAUAGCUCCCACAUACAUGUUAAUCUGUCUCAAGCUCAGAAACCUUCACUCAAAGAACAAUGAAAGCAAGCAGCAGAGAUGGAUGAAUUCUGGCAACAGAUCACAGAAGCUGUACAAAGCAAAGUAUCUCAAUUCCCCACAGAUAUAUACUCAAGAACAGACAUCUCAGCAUGCUCAAUUGAUGAUGACAACUGUCUAUACUUUUGAGAUAGACAAUGAAUCUCUAAUUCAGAACUCUUACAAACA
rnacentral:sRNA from 2 species